GAUGAACGCUGGCGGCGUGCCUAAUACAUGCCAGUCGAGCGAACAGAUAAGGAGCUUGCUCCUUUGACGUUAGCGGCGGACGGGUGAGUAACACGUGGGUAACCUACCUAUAAGACUGGAAUAACUCCGGGAAACCGGGGCUAAUGCCGGAUAACAUUUAGAACCGCAUGGUUCUAAAGUGAAAGAUGGUUUUGCUAUCACUUAUAGAUGGACCCGCGCCGUAUUAGCUAGUUGGUAAGGUAACGGCUUACCAAGGCAACGAUGCGUAGCCGACCUGAGAGGGUGAUCGGCCACACUGGAACUGAGACACGGUCCAGACUCCUACGGGAGGCAGCAGUAGGGAAUCUUCCGCAAUGGGCGAAAGCCUGACGGAGCAACGCCGCGUGAGUGAUGAAGGUCUUCGGAUCGUAAAACUCUGUUAUUAGGGAAGAACAAAUGUGUAAGUAACUGUGCACGUCUUGACGGUACCUAAUCAGAAAGCCACGGCUAACUACGUG
rnacentral:rRNA from 1 species